GUGACCUCGAGGGGGGGGGGGUGGGGAAAAUUUUCCGCUAAAUUUAGCGGGGAAAUUUCCCGCUAGAUUUAGCGGGGAAAAUUUCCCGCUAGAUUUAGCGGGGAAAAUUUUCCGCUAGAUUUAGCGGGGAAAAUUUUCCGCUAGAUUUAGCGGGGAAAAAUUUCCGCUAAAUUUAGCGGGGAAAAUUUUCCGCUAGAUUCAGCGGGGAAAUUUCCCGCUAGAUUUAGCGGGGAAAAGUUUCCGCUAGAUAU
rnacentral:SRP_RNA from 1 species